ACGGACGUUUGACGCCGGGGACGGAGCGAGGCAGAGCCGUGGCUCGACACGUUGCCGGCGUCCUGAUCCGUGGAUCAGAUCCGGCGCUCUCCGGUAAUGGCGGCACUGCCUGCAGUAAAUGCGUUGGGAGCAUCUUUCUCCUACCUUUAGCCCUAGGUUACCCGAUUGUUGAGAGCGGCGACCUGGUGGGGAAAACCUGCAGCGACUAGGCGACUGCGUGCUUGGGUAGGCAUGGAGUUCUUGAUGCAGCCCGUAAAUAGGCAGCAGGACUCUGCUAGAAGAGGUCAACGAGAACAAGAUGAACAUGGAGCCUCUUCAUUACCCUGUGAGUCUGUGACGACGACGCCGGUGGUGGAGUUGCCGGCCAGCACGGAAUCAAGCGCCAACGACCAGAUUUGCACUGAGGGCGCUGUUCCAAGGGCAGGCAGUGCAGACAACCUCAAGCUUCAGAGCACUCCAUCGAGCAGGUUGACCAAAAAACACCUGGGUGGACGCAAAGGGUCCGGGUUGGGGCAGCUGAGCUAGGUAGAGCCCCAUGUGCUGAUAGGAGGAUAUCAGGGCUGGAGAAAAUUGUUCAAAGGAGACAGAGUGCAUGGUGCCACAGCUAACAAAUGAUGACAGUUCAGCUAAUGAGUCAGGGAAUAGCCUAGUGGGAUUAUUGCCUCCAGCAAAGAGGAAGGAGAUGGGAAGGCCUACAAGCAGAGAGAAGGCGUUGUACGAGGGUUUGAGCAUAAGGACAAGAUUCAGCACCAUUUGUGGGCGUCAGGGGCAUAAGCAGGCAACCUGCCCAGAUCGCCGAGAUGUCCCAAAGCAAGUUCGGAGACCAGCACGCUGCAAGAAUUGUGGAGUUGAAGGUCACCGUCGCAAGUCGCAACAACUGCCACAAAGCAGCGGAACUUAUUAGACUCAAUAAAGCAUGAUGAGCAGACAAAGUAGUCAGUGAAACUGUUUAAGAUAAUUCCAACGCUCUAUGUUUGAACAAUUUUUCAGUUGUGUUGUACUAGUAUUUUAAUUAGUUGGUUGGUGUGUAAAGUAUGAGGUAAAAAACUUAGUUCAAUUAAGUCAUUUCAUCAUGAGCCUGUACUGAUGGUGUUUUAGGGCUACUUCUGAUCUCAGGCGUUUGAGUCGUUGUAUAGAGAAACACUUACCUGUGUUGCCUGAUCUGGUACUUAAAGACAACAUAAUAAUUCA